AUCUAAUGAUGAGGGCAGCUUGUACAUAGUCUCUUGAAUCUCUCCCAAUAUUCAUAUAUACCUUUUCCAUGUAGUUGUCUGAUUCCAGAAAUAUCUUUUCUGAUU
rfam:Lupinus angustifolius cultivar Tanjil chromosome LG05, whole genome shotgun sequence.